GACGAACGCUGGCGGCGUGCCUAAUACAUGCAAGUAGAACGCACAGUUUAUACCGUAGCUUGCUACACCAUAGACUGUGAGUUGCGAACGGGUGAGUAACGCGUAGGUAACCUGCCUGGUAGCGGGGGAUAACUAUUGGAAACGAUAGCUAAUACCGCAUAAUAUUUAUUAUUGCAUGAUAAUUGAUUGAAAGAUGCUAUUGCAUCACUACUAGAUGGACCUGCGUUGUAUUAGCUAGUAGGUAAGGUAACGGCUCAACUAGGCGACGAUACAUAGCCGACCUGGGAGGGUGAUCGGCCACACUGGGACUGAGACACGGCCCAGACUCAUGCGGGAGGCAGCAGUAGGGAAUCUUCGGCAAUGGACGAAAGUCUGACCGAGCAACGCCGCGUGAGUGAAGAAGGUUGUCGGAUCGUAAAGCUCUGUUGUAAGAGAAGAACGGGUGUGAGAGUGGAAAGUUCACACUGUGACGGUAUCUUACCAGAAAGGGACGGCUAGCUACGUG
rnacentral:rRNA from 1 species